AUACGUAGGUGGCAAGCGUUGUCCGGAUUUACUGGGCGUAAAGAGUAUGUAGGCGGACAUUUAAGUCAGAUGUGAAAUUCCCGGGCUCAACCUGGGAACUGCCUUUGUGACUGCAAGGCUAGAGUACGGCAGAGGGGGAUGGAAUUCCUAGUGUAGCGGUGAAAUGCGUAGAGAUUAGGAAGAACACCGGUGGCGAAGGCGACUUUCUGGACUGUAACUGACGCUGAGGCUCGAAAGCGUGGGGAGC
rnacentral:rRNA from 1 species